UACGGAGGAUCCGAGCGUUAUCCGGAUUUAUUGGGUUUAAAGUGUGCGCAGGCGGGAGAUUAAGUCGGCGGUGAAAUUUUGCAGCUCAACUGUAAAAGUGCCUUCGAAACUGGUUUCCUUGAGUGUGGAUGAAGUAGGCGGAAUUUGUGGUGUAGCGGUGAAAUGCAUAGAUAUCACGAGGAACUCCGAUUGCGCAGGCAGCUUACUAAACCAUAACUGACGCUCAGGCACGAAGGCGUGGGGAUCAAACAGGAUUAGAUACCCGGGUAGU
rnacentral:rRNA from 1 species